UACAGAGGGUGCAAGCGUUGUUCGGAAUUAUUGGGCGUAAAGGGCGCGUAGGCGGCUUGAUAAGGUUGCGGUGAAAGCCCGGGGCUCAACCCCGGGUCGGCCGUGGCAACUGUCGAGCUGGAGCACUGUAGAGGCAGGUGGAAUUCCGGGUGUAGCGGUGGAAUGCGUAGAGAUCCGGAAGAACACCGGUGGCGAAGGCGGCCUGCUGGGCAGUGGCUGACGCUGAGGCGCGACAGCGUGGGGAGCAAACAGG
rnacentral:rRNA from 1 species